GUUAGGCAAAUCCGGCACUCUUAAGAUUGAGCUGUGAUGGGGAGAGGAACUUGUUCCUCGAGUCGUUGAUUUCACACUGCCGAGAAAAGCCUCUAGCUAGAAUAACGGUGCCCGUACCGCAAACCGACACAGGUAGUCAAGAUGAGAAUUCUAAGGUGAGCGAGCGAACUCUCGUUAAGGAACUCGGCAAAAUGACCCCGUAACUUCGGGAGAAGGGGUGCUCUUUGAGGUUCACGCUUCGAAGAGCCGCAGUGAAUAGGCCCAAGCGACUGUUUAUCAAAAACACAGGUCUCUGCUAAACCGUAAGGUGACGUAUAGGGGCUGACGCCUGCCCGGUGCUGGAAGGUUAAGAGGAGUGGUUAGCGCAAGCGAAGCUACGAAUCGAAGCCCCAGUAAACGGCGGCCGUAACUAUAACGGUCCUAAGGUAGCGAAAUUCCUUGUCGGGUAAGUUCCGACCCGCACGAAAGGCGUAACGAUUUGGGCACUGUCUCAACGAGAGACUCGGUGAAAUCAUAGUACCGGUGAAGAUGCCGGUUACCCGCGACAGGACGGAAAGACCCCGUGGAGCUUUACUGUAGCCUGAUAUUGAAAUUCGGUACAGUUUGUACAGGAUAGGUAGGAGCCUUAGAAGCGUGAGCGCUAGCUUACGUGGAGGCAUUGGUGGGAUACUACCCUAAUUGUAUUGGAUUUCUAACCCGCAGCACUUAUCGUGCUGGGAGACAGUGUCAGGCGGGCAGUUUGACUGGGGCGGUCGCCUCCUAAAGAGUAACGGAGGCGCUCAAAGGUUCCCUCAGAAUGGUUGGAAAUCAUUCAUAGAGUGUAAAGGCAUAAGGGAGCUUGACUGCGAGACCUACAAGUCGAGCAGGGUCGAAAGACGGACUUAGUGAUCCGGUGGUUCCGCAUGGAAGGGCCAUCGCUCAACGGAUAAAAGCUACCCCGGGGAUAACAGGCUUAUCUCCCCCAAGAGUUCACAUCGACGGGGAGGUUUGGCACCUCGAUGUCGGCUCAUCGCAUCCUGGGGCUGUAGUCGGUCCCAAGGGUUGGGCUGUUCGCCCAUUAAAGCGGUACGCGAGCUGGGUUCAGAACGUCGUGAGACAGUUCGGUCCCUAUCCGUCGUGGGCGUAGGAAAUUUGAGAGGAGCUGUCCUUAGUACGAGAGGACCGGGAUGGACAUACCUCUGGUGUACCAGUUGUCGUGCCAACGGCAUAGCUGGGUAGCUAUGUAUGGACGGGAUAAGUGCUGAAAGCAUCUAAGCAUGAAGCCCCCCUCGAGAUGAGAUUUCCCAACUUCGGUUAUAAGAUCCCUCAAAGAUGAUGAGGUAAAUAGGUUCGAGGUGGAAGCGUAGCGAUACGUGGAGCUGACGAAUACUAAUCGAUCGAAGACUUAAUCAA
rnacentral:rRNA from 1 species